GAUCUGUGUGAUUAAUUUCGAUAACGAACGAGACCCUCACGUGAUAAGUUGGAUCUUGAUAUGAGAGUCGUCCCGUGCGUUGGUUUGCUCGCAGGUGUGUGCGACGGCUGUGCGGUGGACUGUUUGUGCGUGUGUGCGUGUUCGCCUUAACGGGUGGGAUGCGCGCGCCGUGGGCCGCCGCUUGCGUGGUCUUAGCUUUCCUCGUCGCGCCUUCUUGCAGGUAGUGCACUCCAAGUCCGCCGCUGUGUCUUAGAAUUCUUCUUAGAGGGAUCAACGGCUCUGAAGCCGUCAGAGACUGAGAGCAAUAACAGGUCUGUGAUGCCCUUAGAUGCUCUGGGCCGCACGCGUGCUACAAUGCGGACACAGCAGGUGUUUUCUCCUGAUCCGAGAGGAACAGGCAACCCUCUGAAAGUCCUUGGCGUGCUUGGGCCUGGGGCUUGCAAUUAUUCCCCACAAACGAGGAAUGCCUAGUAGCGGUAGGUCACUGAGCCUGCCGUGACUGAGUCCCUGCCCUUUGUACACACCGCCCGUCGCUACUACCGAUUGGGUGUACCAGUGAGAGCCUUGGACUGGCGGCCGUAGCUCUGCCAACGGACACGACUGAAAGAGGUCCGAACUGGUGCACUUAGAGGAAGUAAUUUGUCGUUACA
rnacentral:rRNA from 1 species